GUUGGGUAGGGGAGCGUUCUGUAAGCCUGUGAAGGUGUGUCGUGAGGCAUGCUGGAGGUAUCAGAAGUGCGAAUGCUGACAUAAGUAACGAUAAAGCGGGUGAAAAGCCCGCUCGCCGGAAGACCAAGGGUUCCUGUCCAACGUUAAUCGGGGCAGGGUGAGUCGACCCCUAAGGCGAGGCCGAAAGGCGUAGUCGAUGGGAAACGGGUUAAUAUUCCCGUACUUGGUGUUACUGCGAAGGGGGGACGGAGAAGGCUAUGUUGGCCGGGCGACGGUUGUCCCGGUUUAAGCGUGUAGGUGUGUGUUCCAGGUAAAUCCGGUUCACUUUAACACUGAGGCGUGACGACGAGGCACUACGGUGCUGAAGCAACAAAUGCCCUGCUUCCAGGAAAAGCCUCUAAGCAUCAGGUAACAUCAAAUCGUACCCCAAACCGACACAGGUGGUCAGGUAGAGAAUACCAAGGCGCUUGAGAGAACUCGGGUGAAGGAACUAGGCAAAAUGGUGCCGUAACUUCGGGAGAAGGCACGCUGACACGUAGGUGAAGUGAUUUACUCAUGGAGCUGAAGUCAGUCGAAGAUACCAGCUGGCUGCAACUGUUUAUUAAAAACACAGCACUGUGCAAACACGAAAGUGGACGUAUACGGUGUGACGCCUGCCCGGUGCCGGAAGGUUAAUUGAUGGGGUCAGCGCAAGCGAAGCUCCUGAUCGAAGCCCCGGUAAACGGCGGCCGUAACUAUAACGGUCCUAAGGUAGCGAAAUUCCUUGUCGGGUAAGUUCCGACCUGCACGAAUGGCGUAAUGAUGGCCAGGCUGUCUCCACCCGAGACUCAGUGAAAUUGAACUCGCUGUGAAGAUGCAGUGUACCCGCGGCAAGACGGAAAGACCCCGUGAACCUUUACUAUAGCUUGACACUGAACAUUGAGCCUUGAUGUGUAGGAUAGGUGGGAGGCUUUGAAGUGUGGACGCCAGUCUGCAUGGAGCCGACCUUGAAAUACCACCCUUUAAUGUUUGAUGUUCUAACGUGGACCCGUUACCCGGGUUGCGGACAGUGUCUGGUGGGUAGUUUGACUGGGGCGGUCUCCUCCUAAAGAGUAACGGAGGAGCACGAAGGUUGGCUAAUCCUGGUCGGACAUCAGGAGGUUAGUGCAAUGGCAUAAGCCAGCUUGACUGCGAGCGUGACGGCGCGAGCAGGUGCGAAAGCAGGUCAUAGUGAUCCGGUGGUUCUGAAUGGAAGGGCCAUCGCUCAACGGAUAAAAGGUACUCCGGGGAUAACAGGCUGAUACCGCCCAAGAGUUCAUAUCGACGGCGGUGUUUGGCACCUCGAUGUCGGCUCAUCACAUCCUGGGGCUGAAGUAGGUCCCAAGGGUAUGGCUGUUCGCCAUUUAAAGUGGUACGCGAGCUGGGUUUAGAACGUCGUGAGACAGUUCGGUCCCUAUCUGCCGUGGGCGCUGGAGAACUGAGGGGGGCUGCUCCUAGUACGAGAGGACCGGAGUGGACGCAUCACUGGUGUUCGGGUUGUCAUGCCAAUGGCACUGCCCGGUAGCUAAAUGCGGAAGAGAUAAGUGCUGAAAGCAUCUAAGCACGAAACUUGCCCCGAG
rnacentral:rRNA from 1 species